AUGGCCGACGACAACGGCGGCGGCGGCGACGACUACGUCAGCGAGGCCGUCCGCCCCGAGGGUGAUACACAUACGCGUGAAGAGGGAUUGUCAAAAUCCAGGGAUAGAGACAGAGAAAAAGACAAGGAUAAGGAGCGCCAUAGGGACCGUGACAGAGAUAGAGGAAGAGACAGAGAUCGGGGUCGGGACAGGGAUCUAGACAAGGAUCGGGACAGGGACAAGGAUCGGGAUCGUCACCAAAGGCAUCACCGUGACAAAAGGGAGCACCGAGACCGUCCUGAUGAUCAUGAUCGUCACAGAAGCCGUGAUUCUGAAAGGAGAAGGGACCGCGAGAGAGAUGGAUAUCGCAGGCAUCGCUCUCGUUCACGGUCUCGUUCAAGGGGCAGGGAUGAUCACAGAUCUCGAUCUCAUUCAAAAAGCAGCAAGCGAGUCAGUGGAUUCGACCUGGGACCAACAGCACAAUCCGUACUUCCUCAGUUCCCUGCCAUUCCAACCCCAAGUCAGUUACCGGGCUCUUCUAUUCCUGGAAUGUUCCCGAACAUGCUCCCUUUUGCUGUUGGACAGUUCAAUCCCCUCGUCAUGCAGCCACAAGCCAUGACUCAACAGCAUAUUUUUCCUCAGGCUACUCGGCAUGCUCGGCGUGUUUAUGUCGGUGGCCUUCCCCCAUCUGCUAAUGAACAGUCUGUUGCAAUAUACUUUAAUCAAGUCAUGGCUGCUAUUGGAGGAAACACUGCUGGUCCAGGUGAUGCUGUUCUUAAUGUGUACAUAAACCAUGACAAGAAAUUCGCUUUUGUGGAGAUGAGGUCUGUGGAGGAAGCAAGCAAUGCAAUGGCACUGGAUGGCAUUUUGUUUGAAGGUGCACCAGUGAAGGUUAGAAGACCAACAGACUAUAACCCUUCUCUGGCAGCUGCCCUGGGCCCAAGCCAGCCAAGCUCCAAUUUGAAUCUUGCUGCGGUUGGCCUAACACCAGGUUCAGCCGGAGGGUUAGAAGGCCCGGACCGUAUUUUUGUGGGUGGUCUCCCCUAUUACUUCACAGAGGCUCAAGUUCGGGAGCUGCUUGAAUCAUUUGGGCCUCUUCGAGGAUUUGAUCUUGUGAAAGAUAGGGAAACUGGUAACUCAAAGGGCUAUGCGUUCUGUGUCUACCAGGACCUCAAUGUCACUGACAUAGCCUGCGCUGCUCUAAAUGGUAUCAAGAUGGGAGACAAAACUCUUACGGUCAGACGAGCAAACCAGGGCUCAGCCCAACCUAGACCAGAGCAGGAAAAUAUCCUGUUGCAGGCACAGCAACAGGUGCAGUUACAGAAACUUGUGUAUCAAGUUGGAGCGCUCCCUACAAAGGUUGUAUGCCUGACCCAGGUAGUUACUGCUGAUGAAUUAAAAGAUGAUGAAGAAUAUGAGGACAUUAUGGAGGACAUGAGGUUGGAAGCUGGGAAAUAUGGUAACUUGGUGAAAGUUGUCAUCCCACGUCCUCAUCCGAGUGGAGAGCCAGUUUCUGGAGUUGGAAAGGUGUUCUUAGAGUAUGCAGAUGUUGAUGGUUCCACCAAAGCAAAGACGGCGAUGCACGGAAGGAAAUUCGGUGGAAACCCAGUUGUUGCGGUCUUCUACCCCGAGAACAAGUUUGCUGAUGAGGACUAUGACGCGGCAGCAUAA
rnacentral:rRNA from 1 species